rnacentral:SRP_RNA from 1 species
GCCGGGCGUGGUGGCGCGCGCCUGUAGUCCCAGCUACUCGGGAGGCUGAGGUGGGAGGAUCGCUUGAGUCCAGGAGUUCUGGGCUGCAGUGCGCUAUGCCGAUCGGGUGUCCGCACUAAGUUCGGCAUCAAUAUGGUGACCUCCCGGGAGCGGGGGACCACCAGGUUGCCUAAGGAGGGGUGAACCGGCCCAGGUCGGAAACGGAGCAGGUCAAAACUCCCGUGCUGAUCAGUAGUGGGAUGGCGCCUGUGAAUAGCCACUGCACUCCAGCCUGGGCAAUAUAGUGAGACCCUGUCUCUA